CCACUUAGUUGUCAGCGAGUCAUGUCGGAUACUCGUAAUGGGACUGCCGGUGACGAGCCGGAGGAAGGUGGGGAUGACGUCAAGUCAGCAUGGCCUUUAUGUCCAGGGCCACACACGUGCUACAAUGGACGGUACAGAGGGACGCAAGACCGCAAGGUGGAGCAAAUCCUCAAAACCGUUCUCAGUUCGGAUUGCAGGCUGCAAUUCGCCUGCAUGAAGCUGGAAUUGCUAGUAAUCGCAGAUCAGCUACGCUGCGGUGAAUACGUUCUCGGGCCUU
rnacentral:rRNA from 1 species